rnacentral:rRNA from 1 species
UACGUAGGGGGCGAGCGUUGUCCGGAAUUAUUGGGCGUAAAGAGCUCGUAGGCGGUUUGUUGCGUCGGCUGUGAAAUCCCGAGGCUCAACCUCGGGUCUGCAGUCGAUACGAGCAAACUAGAGUGUUGCAGGGGAGACUGGAAUUCCUGGUGUAGCGGUGAAAUGCGCAGAUAUCAGGAGGAACACCGGUGGCGAAGGCGGGUCUCUGGGCAGUAACUGACGCUGAGGAGCGAAAGCGUGGGGAGCGAACAGG